rnacentral:rRNA from 1 species
GUAAAGCGCGCGCAGGUGGUUUCUUAAGUCUGAUGUGAAAGCCCACGGCUCAACCGUGGAGGGUCAUUGGAAACUGGGAGACUUGAGUGCAGAAGAGGAAAGUGGAAUUCCAUGUGUAGCGGUGAAAUGCGUAGAGAUAUGGAGGAACACCAGUGGCGAAGGCGACUUUCUGGUCUGUAACUGACACUGAGGCGCGAAAGCGUGGGGAGCAAACAGGAUUAGAUAGCCUGGGUAGUCCACGCCGUAAACGAUGAGUGCUAAGUGUUAGAGGGUUUCCGCCCUUUAGUGCUGAAGUUAACGCAUUAAGCACUCCGCCUGGGGAGUACGGCCGCAAGGCUGAAACUCAAAGGAAUUGACGGGGGCCCGCACAAGCGGUGGAGCAUGUGGUUUAAUUCGAAGCAACGCGAAGAACCUUACCAGGUCUUGACAUCCUCUGAAAACCCUAGAGAUAGGGCUUCUCCUUCGGGAGCAGAGUGACAGGUGGUGCAUGGUUGUCGUCAGCUCGUGUCGUGAGAUGUUGGGUUAAGUCCCGCAACGAGCGCAACCCUUGAUCUUAGUUGCCAUCAUUAAGUUGGGCACUCUAAGGUGACUGCCGGUGACAAACCGGAGGAAGGUGGGGAUGACGUCAAAUCAUCAUGCCCCUUAUGACCUGGGCUACACACGUGCUACAAUGGACGGUACAAAGAGCUGCAAGACCGCGAGGUGGAGCUAAUCUCAUAAAACCGUUCUCAGUUCGGAUUGUAGGCUGCAACUCGCCUACAUGAAGCUGGAAU